rnacentral:rRNA from 1 species
AUUGAACGCUGGCGGCAGGCCUAACACAUGCACGUCGAACGAGUGGCGGACGGGUGAGUACUGUCUGGGACACUGCCCGAUGGAGGGGGAUAACUACUGGACACGGUAGCUAAUACCUCCUACCAUCGGAUGUGCCCCGCUGGGAUUAGCUAGUAGGUGGGGUAAAGGCUCACCUAGGCGACGAUCCCUAGCUGGUCUGAGAGGAUGACCAGAAAGACUGGAACUGAGACACGGGCCAGACUCCUACGGGAGGCAGCAGUGGGGAAUAUUGCACAAUGGGCGCAAGCAUGAUGCAGCCAUGCCGCGUGUAUGAAGAAGGCCGUCGGGUUGUAAAGUACGUUCAGCGGGGAGGCGUUACCCGCAGAAGAAGCACCGGCUAACUCCGUGCCAGCAGCCGCGGUAAUUC